UUUUUAGCUAAAUUUGGAAUUUUUGUUCCAAUUCUUGGGAUAGAUCCUUAAAAUCAGUGAUUCAUACUUCUGUCUCCAUAGCAGUACCAAAGUUUAGCGAAUCCUUUUGUUGAGAAAUUAAGAACUUUGUUGGAGUUGGAAGAAUCCUCGUCAUUUACCCCAUUAUGUUCCUGUGAUCCAGAGGAAAUUUCCUUUCCAAGAUUCCCUCCCAACCCUAAUAUAAGAGACUUCAACUCCCCUAUGACAUUUUCCAUAGAGUUCUUGAUCUCCAUAAUCUCUUUUCUAACUCCUUCCACGUCAUGCCUGACUUCAUUUUGCAGGUUCUUGA
rnacentral:misc_RNA from 1 species